CACCUUUGUCGUUGUCUGGCCUUCUCUCUAACCUUGGCCACAAACUUCUGACCAACCAUGAAAAACACUUCGUCUUCUCCGGCCAUGUCUCCGCAAGUUACUCCUAAGUCGUUCCUGAUUACUGAAAGAGCACCUCCAACUUCACCGUCGUUAACACUUCCGCCUCCACCAAUUCCAAUCAACUUCAGUUCAGAACCAUAUAAGUGACCUUUCAAGUUUAUCUUGACCAAUAACUUACGACACCUCUAAACGCAGUUCCAAUCGAGUCCUGCUUGACUCCAACCUUUUCCUCUUGGUUACUUUUACCAGCUCCAGAAGAAAUGCGAGAAUUUGAUGAGCUUCUUCCCUGUGCCAGGUACAACCCCCAAUCACAGAAAAACUCUUCAAAUUUCCUGACUCGUUCUUUACCAAACGUGCCUUACUCUCCUUGUUGAUUUAUAUAUCGAUAAAACUGCCACCACUUCUCUGUUUAUACUCUGUGAGGUGACUCAACCAACAGGACCAUCUCCGAGUAUGCCUGCAAUCGAUCAGACGACGACUUUGAGUGUUACGAGGCACAUCUUGAAAGAUUUUCUAGCGCCAGCUCGAAACCCGUAGUCACCUUUUUUUUGCGUGCUCUUACUCCAAACAGGUGUGGAAGAAUGUAGCACAUGUGUUUCUUCUCAGGGAAAUCUCAGCAACUGGAAUUCGGUGGUUAACAUCAUCUCACGGUCUCAUCAAAAUCAUUUGAAAAGUUUCAUCAUUAGAUACCUGUUCCAAAUGACGAUUUAUGUGCUGUGGAGAGAAAGGAAUGAUCGACGACAUGGAACUACACCUGCUUUGGUAGCUCGGCUGAUCAAGCAAAUUGAUAAAGGGGUACGAAACAGAUUUAGUUCCAUCCGUAUAAUGCAUGAUGAACGGUAUCAAGAGGGUAUGCAGGUUUGGCUAGCUUCUAGGCCUGAAGCUUGAGAAAGCAGAAAGCUGUGUUUUCAAGUAUAAGUUACAAGCUCGUUUCCCAAUUAAUUUGUUCGCAUGUACGAUGUAGAAAACUUUCUACAGAAUUUUUCUUCCAAAACAAAAUUAUAAUAAAAUAAAAUAUCGAAAUGUGAGA